GGAAGGAUCAUUAUUGAUUUUAAACAGGAUGUGCUGAUCUCUCUCAAAAGGGGGGGAUAAUGUGCACUCCUAACAAAACCAAUAUCCACCUGUGCACCUUCUGUAGGCAAGUAGGGUUACUUUUACCAGUUCCCCCCUUGUCUAUGUUUUUUUCACAAACACUGCUCCAAAUUCCAUGAAUGACAUUUGUAAUAAUAUAAAUACAACUUUCAACAAUGGAUCUCUUGGUUCUCGCAUCGAUGAAGAACGCAGCGAAUUGCGAUAUGUAAUGUGAAUUGCAGAAUUCAGUGAAUCAUCGAAUCUUUGAACGCACAUUGCACCCUCUGGUAUUCCGGAGGGUAUGCCUGUUUGAGUGUCAUUAACAUAUCAACACAGACAAGUUUCUUUCACUCAAAGGACUUGCUUCUGCUGUUUUGGAUGUUGAAGGCAUGCUGGCAAGUCACUUGCCUGCUCCUUUUAAAUUCAUUAGCAGAAACUUUGCAGAACUGGCUUCAGUUUGAUAAGAUUGGACUGCUGCUAGGGAACAUUACCAUUGUUUCAGCUUAUAACUGUCCAACUCACUUGGACUGCCUCUAACCCUUGAGGCAUCAAUUGACAACUUGACCUCAAAUCAGGUAGGAUUACCCGCUGAACUUAAGCAUAUCAAUAAGCGGAGGAAAAGAAACUAACAAGGAUUCCCCCAGUAACUGCGAGUGAAGAGGGAAAAGCUCAAAUUUAAAAUCUGGCAGUCUUUGGCUGUCCGAGUUGUAAAUUAGAGAAGCGUCAUCCGCGCUGGCCUGUGCAUAAGUCUCUUGGAAAAGAGCAUCAUAGAGGGUGACAAUCCCGUCUUUGGCAUGGACUACCAGGGCUUUUGUGAUGCGCUCUCGAUGAGUCGAGUUGUUUGGGAAUGCAGCUCUAAAUGGGUGGUAAAUUCCAUCUAAAGCUAAAUAUUGGCGAGAGACCGAUAGCGCACAAGUACCGUGAGGGAAAGAUGAAAAGAACUUUGAAAAGAGAGUUAAACAGUACGUGAAAUUGUUGAAAGGGAAACGCUUGAAGUCAGUCGCAUCCUUCAGAAAUCAACCUGACCGACUCUAGGUCUGGUGCACUUUCUGUUUGGAUGGGUCAGCAUCAAUUUUGAUCGUUGGAAAAAGGCUUAGGGAAAGUGGCAUCUCCGGAUGUGUUAUAGCCCUUUGACCACAUACAGCGGUUGGGAUUGAGGAACUCCAUGUCCCUCGGGACAGUGCAGGAUGCUGGCACAAUGGCUUUAAUCGACCCGUCUUGAAACACGGACCAAGGAGUCUAACAUACAUGCGAGUGUUUGAGUGGAAAACUCAAGCGCGUAAUGAAAGUGAAAGUUGAGAACCCUGUCGUGGGGUGCAUCGAUGCCCGGACCUGACCUUUUGUGAUGGACCUGCGGUAGAGCAUGCAUGUUGGGACCCGAAAGAUGGUGAACUAUGCCUGAAUAGGGUGAAGCCAGAGGAAACUCUGGUGGAAGCUCGUAGCGAUUCUGACGUGCAAAUCGAUCGUCGAAUUUGGGUAUAGGGGCGAAAGACUAAUCGAACCAUCUAGUAGCUGGUUCCUGC
rnacentral:misc_RNA from 1 species